CAACCCCUCAGGCGGCUUUUGCUGCCUGGUGUUGGGGCGUCUACGGCGAGCCCGUAGGCCCCGAAGAUCAGUGGCGGGCUCCGCCGGCGGUUCGAGCGCAGUAAUGCACCUCGCUCGGGGCAUCCGGCGGGCGUCCGGCCGUAAAACGACCCACUACUUCUAA
rnacentral:misc_RNA from 1 species